rnacentral:rRNA from 1 species
GUAAUCUUGUGAAACUCUGUCGUGCUGGGGAUAGAGCAUUGCAAUUAUUGCUCUUCAACGAGGAAUCCCUAGUAAGCGCAAGUCAUCAGCUUGCGUUGAUUACGUCCCUGCCCUUUGUACACACCGCCCGUCGCUACUACCGAUUGAAUGGUUCAGUGAGGCUUUCGGACUGGCCCAGGGAGGUCGGCAACGACCACCCAGGGCCGGAAAGUUAUCCAAACUCGAUCAUUUAGAGGAAGUAAAAGUCGUAACAAGGUCUGCGUUGGUGAACCAGCGGAGGGAUCAUU